rnacentral:rRNA from 1 species
GACAGAGGUGCCAAGCGUUAGGCGGAAUCACUGGGCUUAAAGCGUGUGUAGGCGGGCCGUUAAGUGUCUUGUGAAAUCCCCCGGCUCAACCGGGGAAUUGCUGGGCAUACUGGCGGUCUUGAGCGAUCUAGGGGCAGAUGGAACAAGUGGUGGAGCGGUGAAAUGCGUAGAUAUCACUUGGAACGCCAAAGGUGAAGACAGUCUGCUGGGGAUCUGCUGACGCUGAGACACGAAAGCCAGGGGAGCGAACGGG